AGCGUUUGAAAACAAAAGUUGUUAGUCGGACGGCGACGGGUUGGUUUCCACUAGGUGCGGGACAGCUUUUCGCAACUGGAAUAGGCGGAAGUACCGGCUAAACAUGAAGUCUAUUCCCACCGAGGAACAACGACCGUCGAAACUGGGGGCGAUGAGAAUGAGGAAAAGUUUUGCGAUAAAACGAGCGAAAAUCGGAACCAACGGCGACGAAGUCGCAGCUGCCAAAACCAUCUCUUGCACCGAUGGCUGAAGCACCAGCGACUCCAGCUAAACCAUCCUCCUUAUUCAACAACAGCCAAGCCGAGAUAAACGUUGGCCAAUUUCUGCUGUUCCCAAUCCUUUUCCAUCGGUAAAUUCCUUUGUUUGCAGGAGAGGAACGAUAUACCACAC